rnacentral:rRNA from 1 species
UACCUAACUCUAGCCCAACAACCCAACGAACCAACUUUCCCCCGCCCCACAGACAAAACAUUCUCUACCAAACCAAGUAUAGGCGAUAGAAAAGUAAAUUAGGCGCUAUAGAGAAAAUGUACCGUAAGGGAAAGAUGAAAUAACAAUGAAAAACCGAGCAAAACAAAGCAAAGAUUAACCCUUGUACCUCUUGCAUCAUGAUUUAGCAAGAAUCCACAAGCAAAACGACACUUUAAGCUUGCCACCCCGAAACCUUAAGCGAGCUACCAACAAGCAGCUAUUCUAUUGAGCUAACCCGUCUCUGUUGCAAAAGAGUGGGACGACCUGUUGGUAGAGGUGAAAAGCCAACCGAGCUAGGUGAUAGCUGGUUACCCGUGAAAAGAAUCUAAGUUCCUCCUUAAUUUUUCCACAAGGACAUAAACAAGCCCCCAUGAACUGAAUUAAGAGUAAUUUGAAGGAGGUACAGCUCCUUUAAAAAAGAAUUCAACCUUCCACAGCGGAUAAGUCAACCAAAACUACAAAUAAAUGUAGGCCCUUAAGCAGCCACCAACAAAGAAUGCGUCAAAGCUCUAUUCAUAAAAAUCCACAAAUCACACAACUCCCUAACCCACCCCUAACGGGUUAUUCUAUAUUUUAUAGAAGAACUUAUGCUAAAAUGAGUAACUAGGACUCCUCCUCUCCAGCGCAAACUUACAUCAACCCAUUAUUAACAGACCAAAAAUGUCAUAAAACCAUCACAAGACCAAACAUUAACACCCCUGUUAACCCAACUCAAGGAGCGCUACAUAAGACGAUUAAAAUCUGUAGAAGGAACUAGGCAAACACAAGACCCGACUGUUUACCAAAAACAUAGCCUUCAGCAAAACAAGUAUUGAAGGUGACGCCUGCCCAGUGACACUACGUUCAACGGCCGCGGUAUCCUAACCGUGCGAAGGUAGCGCAAUCAAUUGUCCCAUAAAUCGGGACUUGUAUGAAUGGCUAAACGAGGUCCAAACUGUCUCCUACAGACAAUCAGUGAAAUUGAUCCUCCUGUGAAAAAGCAGGAAUAAUAACAUAAGACGAGAAGACCCUGUGGAACUUAAAAAUCAGCAGCCACCCCAAAUUUUUUCCCACAACACAAGGGAACAUUGGCAUGCAUUUUUCGGUUGGGGCGACCUUGGAGAAAAGAAAACCCUCCAAAAACAAGACCACCCAUCUUAACCAAGACCAACCAAUCAACGUACUAACAGUAAUCAGACCCAAUAUAAUUGACCAAUGAACCAAGCUACCCCAGGGAUAACAGCGCAAUCUCCUCCAAGAGCCCCCAUCGACGAGGAGGUUUACGACCUCGAUGUUGGAUCAGGACAUCCUAGUGGUGCAGCCGCUACCAAGGGUUCGUUUGUUCAACGAUUAAUAGUCCUACGUGAUCUGAGUUCAGACCGGAGUAAUCCAGGUCGGUUUCUAUCUAUGAUAAACUCUUUCUAGUACGAAAGGACCAAAAGAGUGAGACCACUACUACAAGCACGUCUCCGCCUAAAGCAAUGAAUAAAAACUAAACUGCCAAAAGCUCAACCAUACAACAACGUCCAAGAACAGGACUA